UCUAAUCCAUCUUCGCGAGUCGCCGACACAUGAGUACAAGUCGUGGGGGGAAAAGAAGGAGGACACCACGCGACCUACACUGAAUCUCGUCCCCGACGCCGUUCCGGCCAGUAGCGCAGGCGGGGAGCCUCGUCAUGGUGCACGAGAGGAUCCACGACACUUGUGGACGGAAGGGACCUACGGUGAUUGCGAAAUUGCUCAUCAGAGCAGUUUUUUUUCUCGUGGAACCACAGCGUUGCCAUCACGUCGGGACUUCAUACGACGGUAUGACGCUAUCCAUUCGAAUCAUGUGGUCAUCCACGUAGGGUAGGACCUCUCGGUGUUCGAAUCUAGGCGCAAUUUGGUGCGCUUGCCUGCACCGGUGGCGCGCCACCGCUAUGGGCGGGCGACGCCACCGCGGGCGUGGCUGGGGGAAGGAGAAAGAUGGUUACCGUUGACACGCAAAGUAACGGUCAGGAUUUAAUCAGGCCUUACCGAUUCAACAACCGGUCUUGACCGUUGAUCUACUCAUGUGCAGUCGCGAUUAGGGCAUUGGGAUACCGGUUGGGUGAGGUUAGCCGGUACCGUUCAAUCCAGAUCCAACAGGUGUAUGUCGAUCUGGGAAUUUUAAAAUCUGGGCCAUCCAUCAUGAAUCCAAUGGCCAUGAUUUCAUGGUAGGGCCAUCUAAUCUGCACCAUUGGUUCGCGAUCGUGUAGCUCUAAGUAACUCAUACCCGUUCGGCCAAGAGGUUUUGCAAGGAAGCCCCUCGAGAUAGCUCAUAUGAACCCGCCGUCCAGAGAUAUGCAGAGAACAAUACAGUUUAGUCCUAAAAUUUGUAUCUGGUCCCUGAGCUUCUCAGUAAUAUUGUGCCCAGUCCAGUGACUCAAGAAAUUAGUAAAAACGAUAUAGAAAAUACUUUUCUAUCACACAAAUAAUUCCAGAACUUGUGUAAUUCCUAGAAAAUCCAUUUUAAUUCCUUUUUGAUCCAUUCUAGUUGUAUUAAUUUUGUUUUAAUAUUGUUCUACACCUAGUAACUAUGUUUAGUCAUGAAACAUAGAUUAAAAUUAUCUACUUAACUUAUUCUAUACAAAACACUUAGUAACUUCGAAAAAUCGUAACUCGAUAACUGUAGCUCUGAAUUUAGUGAUUCUCGAACCUACGAUCUCGUUACGACACGUAGAAUAUUAUCAUGUAUUCUGCUCUGCUAUUUGUUGUGAUGUUAAUUUCUCCUAUACUAUGUUUGUUUGUAUUGUUGUGAGUAGACGAGCAAGUGACCGAGGACCCAGGUGUUCAGCACGAGGGAAUUGCUGGGCAGGAGCUCGUUGAAGGCAAGUUGUGCCCUUGAUCACUUCUAUUUACCCAAAAAUGUUCCUUUUAAUCAUUAUGAUCUGCAUAGGUUAAUUUUGAUGGGACCCAAUAGGUCACCCUAGUUUGACUAUCUUUAUGCCUUGUUUACUACUAAACUUUUGGGUAGUACCUGCUAUCGCUUUAUGUGGUUUUGGGUAUGGAGAUACACACUAUUCAUGAUCAUGCUUUUAUUAUCAAUUUGUUAUUUAUUGUUCAUGAUAAGAUCAUUAUGUUAAUUGGAACAUGGAGAACCACCUGGGAAAACAGUGCUACCACAAGGGUGGUAUGGGACACCCUUGGCUGACUAAUUAGGAAAGCUAGUGGAGGACUACCUUACCCGAAAGGGGCAAGGGCAGUAGGGGAGUAGUCGGUGUAGGGAGGUUCUCGAGUUGAUUUUGCUGCAAUGGCGGUCAGACGGGGGAUCCCUGCAUUGCGCUUCCUAGAACUGUAGCGGGUUUUCUGAAGCUAGUGGAACUUUGUAAAGGCAUCGUACUGUUACCCUGUCUCGCUUCCUUGGUAGAGGUGAAUGGGAUUCAUGACUGAUAGUCGCCUAGAGGGGGGGGUGAAUAGGGCGAAACUGAAAUUUACAAAAAUAAUCACAACUACAAGCCGGGGUUAGCGUUAGUAAUAAUAAAUGAGUCCACAAGAGAGGGCGCAAAACAAAUCGCAAGCAAAUAAAGAGAGUGACACGUGGAUUUGUUUUACCGAGGUUCGGUUCUUGCAAACCUACUCCCCGUUGAGGAGGCCACAAAGGCCGGGUCUCUUUCAACCCUUCCCUCUCUCAAACGGUCCCUCGGACCGAGUGAGCUUUCCUUCUUCUCAAUCAACCGGGAACAAAACUUCCCCGCAAGGGCCACCACACAAUCGGUGCCUCUUGCCUCGGUUACAAUUGAGUGUUGAUCACAAGAGCAAAAGAGAGAGAAAGAAUGCGAUCCAAGCGCAAGAGCUCAAAAGAACACGGCAAAUCUCUCUCGCUAGUCACUAAAGGCUUGAGUGGAAUUGGAGAGGAUUUGAUCUCUUUGAGUGUGUCUAGAAUUGAAUGCCUAGAGCUCUUGUAGUAGUUGAGAAGUGGAAAACUUGGAUGGCAAUGAAUGUGGGGUGGUUGGGGUAUUUAUAGCCCCAACCACCAAAAGUGACCGUUGGCUGGAGGCGUCUGCUCGAUGGCGCACCGGACAGUCCGGUGCACACCGGACAGUCCGGUGCCCCUGCCACGUCAUCACUGCCGUUGGAUUCUAGCCGUUGGAGCUUCUGACUUGUGGGCCCGCCUGGGUGUCCGGUGCACACCGGACAUGUACUGUUUGAAGUCCGGUGCACCGGCAUGGGCGAUUCUGACUUCAGCGCGCGCUGCGCGCGCAUUUAAUGCACCGCAGGGAGCCGUUGGCGCCGCAGGGAGCCGUUGCUCCGCUGGCACACCGGACAGUCCGGUGUACACCGGACAGUCCGGUGAAUUAUAGCGGAGCGGCUGUCGCGCGAACCCGAGGCUGGCGAGUUUAGGAGGCCGAGCUUCCUUGGAGCACCGGACAUGUCCGGUGCACACCGGACAGUCCGGUGAAUUAUAGCGCGCCGGCUUCCGAGACAUCCCGAGGGUGAAGAGUUUGAGUCUGAGUCCCCUGGUGCACCGGACAGGUACUGUUCACUGUCCGGUGGCACACCGGACAGUCCGGUGCGCCAGACCAGGGGUGCCCUCGGUUGCCCCUUUGCUCCUUUAUUGAAUCCAACACUUGGUCUUUUUAUUGGCUAGAUGUGAACCUUUUGCACCUGUAUAACUUAUACACUAGAGCAAACUAGUCAGUCCAAUAUUUGUGUUGGGCAAUUCAACCACCAAAAUUAUUUAGGAACUAGGUGUAAGCCUAAUUCCCUUUCAAUCUCCCCCUUUUUGGUGAUUGAUGCCAACACAAACCAAAGCAAAUAUAGAAGUGCAUAAUUGAACUAGUUUGCAUAAUGUAAGUGAAAAGGUUACUUGGAAUUGAGCCAAUAUAACUACUUACAAGAUAUGCAAGGAAUGUUUCUUUCUUAUAUAACAUUUUGGACCACGUUUGCACCACAUGUUUUGAUUUUGCAAAUUCUUUUUGUAAAUCCAUUUCAAAGAUCUUUUGCAAAUAGUCAGAGGUAAAUGAAUAAGAGUUUGCAAAGCAUUUUCAAGAUUUGAAAUUUUCUCCCCCUGUUUCAAAUGCUUUUCCUUUGACUAAACAAAACUCCCCCUAAAAGAGAUCCACCUCUUAGUGUUCAAGAGGGUUUUGAUAUACCAUUUUUGAAAUACUACUUUCUCCCCCUUUUGAACACAAUAGGAUACCAAAUGAUAAAGACUUUUGGAAAGCACUAAGUUUUUGAAUUUGGUGGUGGUGGUGCGGUCCUUUUGCUUUGGGCUCAUUUCUCCCCCUUUUUGGCAUGAAUCGCCAAAAACGGAAUCAUUAGAGCCCUCGAAGUGCAAUCUUCCCCUUUGGUCAUAAAUAAGUGAGUUAAGAUUAUACCAAAGACGAAGUCCUUUUGCGUUUGAGCUUUUACUCUCUCCCCCAAGGAUGAAGUCCUUUUCCUUGAUGCUCAUUUCUCCCCCAAAGGCGAGAGAGUUGCUCGGAGUGAUGGCGAAGCAUGAGUUACGGAGUGGAAGCCUUUGUCUUCGCCGAAGACUCCAAUUCCCUUUCAAUAUACCUAUGACUUGGUUUGAAAUCGACUUGAAAACACAUUAGUCAUAGCAUAUAAAAGAGAUAUGAUCAAAGGUAUUCAAAAGAGCUAUGUGUGCAAGCUUAGCAAAAGAAAUUUCUAGAAUCAAGAAUAUUGAGCUCAUGCCUAAGUCUGGUAAAAGAUUGUUCAUCAAGUGGCUUGGUAAAGAUAUCGGCUAAUUGAUCUUUAGUAUUAAUGUAAGAAAUCUCGAUAUCCCCCUUUUGUUGGUGAUCUCUAAGAAAAUGAUACCGAAUGGCUAUGUGCUUAGUGCGGCUAUGCUCGACGGGAUUGUCGGCCAUUUUGAUUGCACUCUCAUUAUCACAUAGCAAAGGGACUUUGGUUAAUUUGUAACCGUAGUCCCGCAGGGUUUGCCUCAUCCAAAGCAAUUGCGCGCAACAAUGUCCUGCGGCAAUGUACUCGGCUUCGGCGGUGGAAAGAGCGACCGAAUUUUGCUUCUUUGAAGCCCAAGACACCAAGGAUCUUCCCAAGAACUGGCAAGUCCCCGAUGUGCUCUUCCUAUUGAUUUUGCACCCCGCCCAAUCGGCAUCCGAAUAACCAAGUAAAUCAAAUGUGGAUCCCCUAGGGUACCAAAGCCCAAACUUAGGUGUAUAAGCCAAAUAUCUCAAGAUUCGUUUUACGGCCGUAAGGUGGGAUUCCUUAGGGUCGGAUUGGAAUCUUGCACACAUGCAAACGGAAAGCAUAAUGUCCGGUCGAGAUGCACAUAAAUAAAGCAAUGAACCAAUCAUCGACCGGUAUACCUUUUGAUCCACGGACUUACCUCCCGUGUCGAGGUCGAGAUGCCCAUUAGUUCCCAUGGGUGUCUUGAUGGGUUUGGCAUCCUUCAUCCCAAACUUAGCAAGAAUGUCUUGAGUGUACUUCGUUUGGCUAAUGAAGGUGCCCUCUUGGAGUUGCUUGACUUGGAAUCCUAGAAAAUACUUCAACUCCCCCAUCAUCGACAUCUCGAAUUUCUGUGUCAUGAUCCUACUAAACUCUUCACAGGUAGACUCGUUAGUAGACCCAAAUAUAAUAUCAUCAACAUAAAUUUGGCAUACAAACAAGUCAUUUUCAAGAGUUUUAGUAAAGAGUGUAGGAUCGGCCUUGCCGACUUUGAAGCCAUUAGCAAUAAGGAAAUCUCUAAGGCAUUCAUACCAUGCUCUUGGGGCUUGCUUGAGCCCAUAAAGCGCCUUAGAGAGCCUAUAGACAUGAUUAGGAUACUCACUGUCUUCAAAGCCGGGAGGUUGCUCAACAUAGACCUCUUCCUUGAUUGGUCCGUUGAGGAAGGCACUUUUCACGUCCAUUUGAUAGAGCUUAAAGCCAUGGUAAGUAGCAUAGGCCAAUAAUAUGCGAAUUGACUCAAGCCUAGCUACGGGUGCAUAGGUUUCGCCGAAAUCCAAACCUUCGACUUGUGAAUACCCUUUGGCUACGAGUCGAGCUUUGUUCCUUGUCACCACACCAUGCUCAUCUUGCUUGUUGCGGAAGACCCAUUUGGUUCCUACAACAUUUUGGUUAGGACGUGGAACUAAAUGCCAGACCUCAUUCCUCGUGAAAUUGUUGAGCUCCUCUUGCAUCGCCACCACCCAAUCCGAAUCUUGGAGAGCUUCCUCUACCCUGUGUGGCUCAAUAGAGGAAACAAAAGAGUAAUGUUCACAAAAAUGAGCAACCCGAGAUCGAGUAGUUACCCCCUUAUGAAUGUCGCCGAGGAUGGUGUCGACGGGGUGAUCUCGUUGGAUUGCUUGGUGGACUCUUGGGUGUGGCGGUCUUGGUUCUUCCUCAUCCUCCUUUUCUUGAUCAUUUGUAUCUCCCCCUUGAUCAUUGCUAUUAUCUUGAGGUGGCUCGUCUUCUUGAUUUUGCUCUUCAUCAUUUUGAGCCUCAUCCUCAUUUUGAGUUGGUGGAGAUGCUUGCAUGGAGGAGAAUGGUUGAUCUUGUGUACUUGGAGGCUCUUCGGAUUCCUUAGGACACACAUCCCCGAUGGACAUGUUCCUUAGCGCGAUGCAUGGAGCCUGUUCUUCACCUAUCUCAUCAAGAUCAACUUGCUCUACUUGAGAGCCGUUAGUUUCAUCAAACACAACGUCACAAGAGACUUCAACUAGUCCAGUGGACUUGUUAAAGACCCUAUAUGCCCUUGUGUUUGAGUCAUAACCAAGUAAAAAGCCUUCUACAGUUUUAGGAGCAAAUUUUGAUUUUCUACCUCUUUUAAUAAGAAUGAAGCAUUUGCUACCAAAAACUCUAAAGUAUGAAAUGUUGGGCUUUUUACCGGUUAGGAGUUCAUAUGAUGUCUUCUUGAGGAUUCGGUGAAGAUAUAACCGGUUGAUGGCGUAGCAGGCGGUGUUGACCGCUUCGGCCCAAAACCGGUCCGGUGUCUUGUACUCAUCAAGCAUGGUUCUUGCCAUGUCCAAUAGAGUUCGAUUCUUCCUCUCCACUACACCAUUUUGUUGGGGCGUGUAGGGAGAGGAGAACUCAUGCUUGAUGCCCUCCUCCUCAAGGAAGCCUUCAAUUUGAGAGUUCUUGAACUCCGUCCCGUUGUCGCUUCUAAUUUUCUUGAUCCUCAAGCCGAACUCAUUUUGAGCCCGUCUCAAGAAUCCCUUUAAGGUCUCUUGGGUUUGAGAUUUUUCCUGCAAAAAGAAUACCCAAGUGAAGCGAGAAUAAUCAUCCACUAUUACAAGACAAUACUUACUCCCGCCGAUGCUUAUGUAAGCAAUCGGGCCGAAUAGAUCCAUGUGGAGUAGCUCAAGCGGCCUGUCGGUCGUCAUGAUGUUCUUGUGUGGAUGAUGGACUCCAACUUGCUUCCCCGCCUGACAUGCGCUGCAAAUCCUGUCUUUCUCAAAAUGAACAUUUGUUAAUCCUAAAAUGUGCUCUCCCUUUAGAAGCUUGUGAAGAUUCUUCAUCCCAACAUGGGCUAGUCGGCGGUGCCAGAGCCAACCCAUGUUAGUCUUAGCAAUUAAGCAAGUGUCGAGUUCAGCUCUAUUAAAAUCCACUAAGUAUAGCUGACCCUCUAACACACCCUUAAAUGCUAUUGAAUCAUCACUUCUUCUAAAGACAGUGACACCUAUAUCAGUAAAAAGACAGUUGUAGCCCAUUUGACAUAAUUGUGAAACAGAAAGCAAGUUGUAAUCUAAGGAAUCAACAAGAAAAACAUUUGAAAUAGAAUGGUCAGGAGAUAUAGCAAUUUUACCAAGUCCUUUGACCAAACCUUGAUUUCCAUCCCCGAAUGUGAUAGCUCGUUGGGGAUCUUGGUUUUUCUCAUAUGAGGAGAACAUCCUUUUCUCCCCGGUCAUGUGGUUUGUGCACCCGAGGUUGCGUACUUGGUUCACCAAGGUCUUGAGCCGGUUGUACAUGUCUUGUGGCUCCUCCCCUUGGCGAAGACGGAAGCGACCGAGCUCCCCCUCGAUCGUUUCCCGCUUGGUGAUCUUGGUGAGUUCAUCACCCUCGUGCGCCGUCUUGAGUAGAUCCCAAAUCUCCUUGGCGUUCUUCAAUCCUUGUACUUUGUUGUAUUCCUCCUUGCUUAGGGAAGCAAGGAGGAUGGUUGCGGCUUGGGAGUUGAAGUGCUCGAUUUGGGCCACUUCGUCCGUGUCAUAGUCCUCAUCCCCUAUUGAUGGUACCUGUACACCAUACUCAACAACAUCCCAUAUUCUUUUGUGGAGAGAGGUUAGAUGAAAUCGCAUCAAAUUACUCCACAUAGCAUAAUCUUCACCAUUAAAAGUUGGUGGUUUGCCUAAUGGGACGGAAAGUAAAGGUGUAUGUUUAGGAAUGCGAGGGUAGCGUAGGGGGAUCUUACUAUACUUCUUGCGCUCUUGGCGCUUAGAAGUGACGGAGGGCGCAUCGGAGUCGGAGGUAGAAGUUGAUGAAGUGUCGGUCUCGUAGUAGACCACCUUCCUCAUCCUCUUGUGCUUAUCGCCUUUCCGAUGCGGCUUGUGGGAAGAAGAUUUUUCCUUCUUCUCUUUGUGGUGAGAAGAAGAUUUCUUCUCCUUCCCUUUGUUGGAGGAGCUCUUCUUCUUCUCCCUCCUUUUGGUGCGGGACUCUUCCGAUGAAGUGCUCCCGUAGCUUGUAGUGGGCUUUUCGCCGGUCUCCAUCUCCUUCUUGGCGUGAUCUCCCGACAUCACUUCGAGCGGUUAGGCUCUAAUGAAGCACCGGGCUCUGAUACCAAUUGAUAGUCGCCUAGAGGGGGGGGUGAAUAGGGCGAAACUGAAAUUUACAAAAAUAAUCACAACUACAAGCCGGGGUUAGCGUUAGUAAUAAUAAAUGAGUCCGCAAGAGAGGGCGCAAAACAAAUCGCAAGCAAAUAAAGAGAGUGACACGUGGAUUUGUUUUACCGAGGUUCGGUUCUUGCAAACCUACUCCCCGUUGAGGAGGCCACAAAGGCCGGGUCUCUUUCAACCCUUCCCUCUCUCAAACGGUCCCUCGGACCGAGUGAGCUUUCCUUCUUCUCAAUCAACCGGGAACAAAACUUCCCCGCAAGGGCCACCACACAAUCGGUGCCUCUUGCCUCGGUUACAAUUGAGUGUUGAUCACAAGAGCAAAAGAGAGAGAAAGAAUGCGAUCCAAGCGCAAGAGCUCAAAAGAACACGGCAAAUCUCUCUCGCUAGUCACUAAAGGCUUGAGUGGAAUUGGAGAGGAUUUGAUCUCUUUGAGUGUGUCUAGAAUUGAAUGCCUAGAGCUCUUGUAGUAGUUGAGAAGUGGAAAACUUGGAUGGCAAUGAAUGUGGGGUGGUUGGGGUAUUUAUAGCCCCAACCACCAAAAGUGACCGUUGGCUGGAGGCGUCUGCUCGAUGGCGCACCGGACAGUCCGGUGCACACCGGACAGUCCGGUGCCCCUGCCACGUCAUCACUGCCGUUGGAUUCUAGCCGUUGGAGCUUCUGACUUGUGGGCCCGCCUGGGUGUCCGGUGCACACCGGACAUGUACUGUUUGAAGUCCGGUGCACCGGCAUGGGCGAUUCUGACUUCAGCGCGCGCUGCGCGCGCAUUUAAUGCACCGCAGGGAGCCGUUGGCGCCGCAGGGAGCCGUUGCUCCGCUGGCACACCGGACAGUCCGGUGUACACCGGACAGUCCGGUGAAUUAUAGCGGAGCGGCUGUCGCGCGAACCCGAGGCUGGCGAGUUUAGGAGGCCGAGCUUCCUUGGAGCACCGGACAUGUCCGGUGCACACCGGACAGUCCGGUGAAUUAUAGCGCGCCGGCUUCCGAGACAUCCCGAGGGUGAAGAGUUUGAGUCUGAGUCCCCUGGUGCACCGGACAGGUACUGUUCACUGUCCGGUGGCACACCGGACAGUCCGGUGCGCCAGACCAGGGGUGCCCUCGGUUGCCCCUUUGCUCCUUUAUUGAAUCCAACACUUGGUCUUUUUAUUGGCUAGAUGUGAACCUUUUGCACCUGUAUAACUUAUACACUAGAGCAAACUAGUCAGUCCAAUAUUUGUGUUGGGCAAUUCAACCACCAAAAUUAUUUAGGAACUAGGUGUAAGCCUAAUUCCCUUUCAAUGACCCCUUGGCAGAUGGGUAACAUGACUUGUCGGUAAAGAUGCACAACCUCUAUAGAGUGUAAAACUAGUAUAUCAGUCGUGCUCACGGUCAUGAGCGAUUCGAACCAUCACAUGAGUAACUUAUGAAUUUAACUAGUCAUUUGCAUCGCAUUGUGGUUUAUUAUUAAUUUUGAUCUACUAUUACUCUGGUUUGGUAUAUACUUACAUUUAGUAACUGCUAAUAAAAUUUGACCAACUUAUUAAAAGCAAUGCUCAGCUUUAACCAUUAUUUGUUGAUCAGCCUUACACUUCACAUGAGCUCCCACCUUUGGUGAGUUCAUGCACAUUAUUCCCCACAACUUGUUGAGCUAUGAUCUUUUGUGAGCUCACUCUUGCAAUAUAUAACACCCCCACAGGUGAAGAGCAGGUGGUCCAAGAGGAACCCUAUAAAGAGGAAUAUGAGCUUAUCUAGGUGGCAUCUCCCAAUCAGCUUGAUGGCACCUGGAAUAAUUAUUUAGUUUGUUUUAUUGUUAUCAUCUAUUUUUGUAAGACUUCUGCUAUGUAAUAAUGAUACUCGUGACAUUUAUCUCUAUACACUUUGUCAUUAUAUGUGAUGUUGUUCUUUGGUGCACAUAUGAGAUGCAUUCGGC
rnacentral:lncRNA from 1 species